rnacentral:rRNA from 1 species
AUGGUUGAUCUCUCCAUCAAGGUAGCACCUUCUACCAUACAUCAGCAUAUCAACGACCUCCUCCUGUCCAAGGAAGGCACCAAUGUGACAUUCAAUGUUGGCGGCGAGACGUUCAUCGCCCACCAGUGCGUGCUUGCGGCUCGGUCUAUGCUCUUCAAGGCUCAGCUCUUUGGCCCCAUGAAGGAAGGCACGGUAGCAAGCGUUGUGCGAAUACAAGACAUGGAAGCAAAUGUGUUUAGGGCCUUGCUUAGCUUUGUUUAUACCGACUCACUGCCCGAUAUGGAGAUAGACAUGGGAGAGGAGAAAAAGGGUGGCGAAGAAGCAUUAUGAUUGCAACACUUGCUUGCGACUGCAGAUAGAUAUGAUCUCCAAAGGUUGAAGGUACUAUGUGAAGAAAAUUUAUGUAAGCACAUAGACAUGAAGUCAGUGAAAACUAUUUUUAAUCUAGCUGAGAGGCACAACUGUUGUGGAUUGAAGGAGGUGUGCCUUGAAUUCCUCAAGGCUCCUGCUAAUUUGAAAGAAAUAACAGCAGCUGGCGUCUUUGACGAUAUAAUUAGGACAUGCCCCUUUCUUUUAAAGGACCUAAUCGGCAAGUUUGCUUCCUAG